UACGUACAUAUUCGGAACCAACUUCCUCUCUCUCCUCUUUUCCCUUACUUCGCCGUCUGUGCUCUUCUUCUUCAGCAAUCUUUUCUUCCCUUCGCCGCCGGCCAGCCGAGGCCUUCUUCCCUUCCUCCGCCGCCUAUGCUCUCCUCCAGUAAUCUUUCCUUGUUCCUCUUCCCUUCGCCGCCGGCCAGCCGCCUUUCCUCUCGCCGCCGACCGCCGCUGCAUCCUCCCUCUCCGCCGCCUCUCGCCGCUGAUGCACAUCCCUCCCUCUAUUGCUGUAUCCUCCCUCUCCGCCGCCUCUCGUCGCCGGAAACCAUUUCAUGUAAUUUGCGAAACGACCUCGGAACGUUUCGCAAAUUACAGAAACGGCCCGAAAAAGGUUUCGGGCCGUUUUUUCCGUUUCCAAAACGGGAAACGGUUCGGAAACGCCGAAACGGAGUCUCCGAGCCGUUUCCGUGCCUCAGAGCUAUGGAAUCGGAUUACGGAGCUUUCACGGAGAAAAUUACUCUAGAACCGUACCCUUCAGCUGGUGAACUUCCUUUGAAGAAUCUCACUUUUGCGGUUAAAGACAUAUUUGAUGUGGAUGGAUAUGUUACUGGGUUUGGAAAUCCCGAUUGGGCACGGACUCAUUCGGCUGCCACGUCAACGGCGCCAGCCAUUUUAGCAGUCUUAAGGGGUGGUGCUAAAUGUGUGGGUAAAACUGUCAUGGAUGAAAUGGCAUACAGUAUCAAUGGAGAUAAUAAACACUAUGGGACACCCAAAAAUCCAUCUGCACCAGAUCGGGUACCUGGAGGGUCUUCCAGUGGAUCUGCUGUUUCAGUUGGUGCAACGCUUGUAGAUUUUGCCUUAGGUACUGACACUGGGGGAAGUGUAAGAGUUCCUGCAGCAUUCUGUGGGAUUUUGGGGUUUCGACCUUCUCAUGGUGCUGUUUCAACCACUGGGGUCAUUCCCAUGGCACAGAGUUUGGACACUGUGGGAUGGUUUGCUAGGGAUGCGGAGACAUUGUGCCAAGUUGGACGAGUAUUACUAGAGUUGCCCGAUGUUGAUCCUGUGAAACCUAGUGCUAUCAUAAUUCCAGAAGAUUGUUUCCAGCUUCUGAGCAUCCCAAGUGAUCGAGUAACUAAGGUUCUUGUUAAGUCAGUAGAGAAGUUAUUCGGAGGUCAAAUCAUGAAUUACACAAGCCUUGGGAAUUAUGUCAAGGACAAUGUCCCAAGCCUGAAGCAUUUUAUGAGCAAAGGAUAUGAAGACAGAGAAAAUAUUCCAUCCCUGGCAGCCCUUUCAAGUGCCAGGAGGCUGCUUCAAAGGUACGAAUUUAAGAAUAAUCAUGGUGAGUGGGUCAGAACAAUUAAACCUGAUUUGGGUCCGGUUAUAUCUGAACGGGUGUUCGAAGCCUUGAGGACAGCAGAUGAAAAUAUUGAUGUCUGCCACUCUGUGAAGACUGAACUACGUGAAGCACUGUCUACUCUCUUGGGGGAUUUUGGUAUCCUAGCAAUACCAACAGUUCCCGGGCCUCCACCAAAGUUACAGACAGAGCCAACAACACUGGAGGCAUUUCAAGCCAGGGCUUUUUGCCUGUUGUCUAUUGCUGGAAUGUCUGGCUUCUGUCAGGUGAGCUUACCACUGGGGAAGCAUAAUGGCCUUCCUGUAGCAGUUUCAUUGUUGGCAAAGCACGGCUCAGAUGGGUUGCUGCUGAAUCUUGUUCAGAUGCUUUAUGAAACUCUCCAGGAACAGAUUGAUAUCGCUGAGAAAUCAAGUCCCUGAAGUUGUGAAAGCAACCUCAUGCACUUCCUAUACUUUCUUCCAAGACAAAAUUGAAACGUGGAGUCGUUUACUCACAGUGACGGGUCUGGAAAUCUUACAGAACUCAAAUAAACUUCUUCUGCUAUGUGGGAUUGUAUCAUAGAUGUGAACAAAGACACCGAGAUUGUCUGAGAAUCAACUCUUGUUUGUUGUUACUUUCUGUACAGAAAGAAGGCUAGAUUUCAUAGCUAUGGUAAUGGUAGGUGCACGCUUUGGAACUACGUGUGGUGGUGGGCCAUACUUGAUUGACUUGAAAGCAUUCGAACUCUCGUGCUCUUUGAAAUCUGCAAACCAUUGUCUUUGUCGAACAUUGGCAACAAUUAUGAGGCUUGUGCCUUAUUUUUGAAUUAAGUGAUUUAAAUUUUGAAUUAUAAUGC